AUUGAACGCUGGCGGCAGGCUUAACACAUGCAAGUCGAGCGAGCGGCGGACGGGUGAGUAAUGUCUGGGAAACUGCCUGAUGGAGGGGGAUAAAUACUGGAAACGGUAUCUAAUACCGCAUACCAUCAGAUGUGCCCAGAUGGGAUUAGCUAGUAGGUGGGGUAUUGGCUCACCUAGGCUACGAUCCCUAGCUGGUCUGAGAGGAUGACCGGCCACACGGGAACUGAGACACGGUCCAGACUCCUACGGGAGGCAGCAGUGGGGAAUAUUGCGCAAUGGGCGAAAGCCUGAUGCAGCCAAGCCGCGUGUGUGAAGAAGGCCUUCGGGUUGUAAAGCACUUUCAGCGGGGAGGCGGUACUCGCAGAAGAAGCACCGGCUAACUCCGUGCCAGCAGCCGCGGUAAUAC
rnacentral:rRNA from 1 species